rnacentral:ncRNA from 1 species
UACCCAUCCAGAGCGGCCGAGAGAUCUGGCUCGUCGACGCCGCAGCAACCACCGGGGAACCGGACAGGUGCUACCGCCAGGACCGAUGGAAG